AUUGAACGCUGGCGGCAUGCCUUACACUUGCAAGUCGAACGGCAGCACGGGUGCUUGCACCUGGUGGCGAGUGGCGAACGGGUGAGUAAUACAUCGGAACAUGUCCUGUAGUGGGGGAUAGCCCGGCGAAAGCCGGAUUAAUACCGCAUACGAUCCACGGAUGAAAGCGGGGGACCUUCGGGCCUCGCGCUAUAGGGUUGGCCGAUGGCUGAUUAGCUAGUUGGUGGGGUAAAGGCCUACCAAGGCGACGAUCAGUAGCUGGUCUGAGAGGACGACCAGCCACACUGGGACUGAGACACGGCCCAGACUCCUACGGGAGGCAGCAGUGGGGAAUUUUGGACAAUGGGCGAAAGCCUGAUCCAGCAAUGCCGCGUGUGUGAAGAAGGCCUUCGGGUUGUAAAGCACUUUUGUCCGGAAAGAAAUCCUUGACUCUAAUACAGUCGGGGGAUGACGGUACCGGAAGAAUAAGCACCGGCUAACUACGUG
rnacentral:rRNA from 1 species